UACGAAGGGGACUAGCGUUGUUCGGAAUUACUGGGCGUAAAGCGCACGUAGGCGGAUUUGUUAGUCAGGGGUGAAAUCCCGGGGCUCAACCUCGGAACUGCCUUUGAUACUGCAAGUCUCGAGUCCGAUAGAGGUGGGUGGAAUUCCUAGUGUAGAGGUGAAAUUCGUAGAUAUUAGGAAGAACACCGGUGGCGAAGGCGGCCCACUGGAUCGGUACUGACGCUGAGGUGCGAAA
rnacentral:rRNA from 1 species